GUUGACUUAGUGGCGGACGGGUGAGUAACGCGUGGGUAACCUGCCUCACACAGGGGGAUAACAGUUGGAAACGACCGCUAAUACCGCAUAACCCGCUAGGGCCGCAUGGCCCGGACGGAAAAGAUUUAUCGGUGUGAGAUGGACCCGCGUUGGAUUAGCUAGUUGGCAGGGUAACGGCCUACCAAGGCGACGAUCCAUAGCCGGCCUGAGAGGGUGAACGGCCACAUUGGGACUGAGACACGGCCCAA
rnacentral:rRNA from 1 species